AAGAAAGAAACAGAAGCUUGCUAAGGAGAGAGCUGGGCUUUCCAAGUUACCUGGUUUAAAAGACGCUGAAGCUGUUCAGAAAUUCUUCCUUGAAGAGAUACAGCGUGGUGAAGAGUUAUUAGCACAAGGUGACCACGAGAAGGGUGUGGACCACCUGACAAAUGCCAUUGCUGUGUGUGGACAGCCUCUGUAGCUGCUGCAAGUGUUCCAGCAGACUCUUCCACCACCAGUGUUCCAGAUGCUCAUGACCAAGCUUCCGACCGUUAGUCAGACAACUGUAAGUGCUCAGAGCUUGGCUGAAGAUGAUGUGGAAUGAGCCAGAUACCAACAAGAUAAAAUCUCAGUAGAAUAAUUUAACAGUUAGCUUGGAAGCUGGUCAGCUCUGGGGGAAUAAGGGCAAAUUGUGCUGUCAUGAACUGUCCCACACUGACGUCUGCCAAAGCGAAUAUGAACUUUGGUAGAUCCGUUGUCUGUUCUAUUUAUUUUUCCAGUGAAAAGUAUUUUGAUAGAGCUUUUGAUUUUAUAAAUACACUGAGUUAAAAAAAU
rnacentral:lncRNA from 1 species